GCUAUGAGUAUGUCAACAUCAUUCCACCUACUCAGAGGCAGCUCUGGAAUAUCUGAUUCACAGGGGUUUGCCUAGGGCAUCUCUACUAGGAAGACUUCCAAUCUUGAUCUGAAAACAUCAAGAGACAGAAAAUCCAACCCUACUUUUGGCUGAACAAAUUGCACAGGAAGAAUCGAAACAGCUUAGAUCUCCUUUCUAUCAUCUUUUGGCUGCUACAAUAACUGAGGAUAAGUUGUUCUUGACUUAGAUAUUCUGCAGACACAGAGAACAGCAAACAUUGCACAGAGGUGGGAAACUACAAGUAAUAAACAGCCUGUGAUUGUUUCAGAGGGACCAGGAAUCAAACAGGGUGAUGCUGGCAUCCUGACCAGAGCUGAGGACAGGCUGAGAGCCUGGACACCAACCAAGAGUGCUCAGCCACAGCUUAAGGUGCAUCUCAAAUGUUUGCUUGAAAAUUGACCUGAAGGAAAUUAAUCCAACCUGGCUAGCCCAAGCAUCCACUUUUAUAUGUAUGUGGCAGGUACUGGUAAAUAUUGUAGCAAAGUCAUUUACUUCUUCUACCCCUGAUGACAGAAGUGAAAAUGCUUCUAAUCCACAGGGUGCUUUUGUUCCAUUGUACCUUCAAUUCUCUUUAGAAUUA